rnacentral:rRNA from 1 species
UACGUAGGGUGCGAGCGUUGUCCGGAAUUACUGGGCGUAAAGGGCUCGUAGGUGGCCAACUAAGUCAGACGUGAAAUCCCUCAGCUUAACUGGGGAACUGCGUCUGAUACUGGAUGGCUUGAGUUUGGGAGAGGGAUGCGGAAUUCCAGGUGUAGCGGUGAAAUGCGUAGAUAUCUGGAGGAACACCGGUGGCGAAGGCGGCAUCCUGGACCAACACUGACACUGAGGAGCGAAAGCCAGGGGAGCAAACG